rnacentral:rRNA from 1 species
UACAGAGGUCUCAAGCGUUGUUCGGAUUCAUUGGGCGUAAAGGGUGCGUAGGUGGCGCCGUAAGUCGGGUGUGAAAUUUCGGAGCUUAACUCCGAAACUGCAUUCGAUACUGCGGUGCUUGAGGACUGGAGAGGAGAAUGGAAUUCCUGGUGUAGCGGUGAAAUGCGCAGAUAUCAGGAAGAACACCCGUGGCGAAGGCGGUUCUCUGGGACGGUACUGACGCUGAGACGCGAAAGCGUGGGGAGCGAACAGG